GAAGGGAGAGUGAAGGAUGCACGAGGCAGGAUGCAGUAUCCAAGAAAAUGUCUUUAUUUAUUGUACACGUUGGCUUCUAUUGCUUGGAUCCCCUCCCCAGUCCCAUGUAGUGCAAAAAAUUCCAGAGAAACAGAGUUCCACAUAAAUAAAGUCGGAUAAAUUACAGAGAAAUCAAAGUGACAAGGCUCGGACAUGGAUCUGGACCAGGUGUGGCCAGCAGGGAGGCCGAGGGAGCCUCUGCCCCCAGAGCAGGGCAGGGGAUCCUGCCUGGCCCCGCUGGGAACAUCCCCAGAGCCAGAGCCCCCGGCUGGGGGACGCUGCUCCGCUGGGAAUUUGGACAAGGAACACCUCGAGUGACACAGCACGGACUACAGCUGGCAGGGAAGCCACACAGAGUUGUUCUCCUCCCCUCAGACGGACAGACAGACAGACAGACACGGACAGGCGUCCCCUGCGAGCUCUCCUCCUCCUCCUGCUGCUCGCCAGGGGACUGCAGCACCAGGAGCAAUCCCGCCCUGGCAGAAUCCCCCAGGGCAGGCGCUGACACCUCGUGUCCACACAGUGUGGGUCGGGGGGCUCAGGACCCCGGGAGAUGCUGGGGAAUUGUUGGGGAAUUGUUGGGGAAUUGUUUUUGCCCUCUCCUUCCUCCUCCUCGAGCACCUGCAUAGUUGGGGCAGCAGAGACAAGAGGAUGCUCUGGCUGGUUUCCAUGGCUCAGGUUCAUGGGGCAGCAGAGAUGAGGAUGUUCUGGCUGGCUCUCCAUGGCUCAGGUUCAUGGGGCAGCAGAGACAAGAGGAUGCUCUGGCUGGCUCUCCAUGGCUCAGGUUCAUGGGGCAGCAGAGACAAGAGGAUGCUCUGGCUGGCUCUCCAUGGCUCAGGUUCAUGGGGCAGCAGAGACAAGAGGAUGCUCUGGCUGGCUCUCCAUGGCUCAGGUUCAUGGGGCAGCAGAGAUGAGGAUGCUCUGGCUGGCUCUCCAUGGCUCAGGUUCAUGGGGCAGCAGAGACAAGAGGCUGCUCUGGCUGGCUCUCCAUGGCUCAGGUUCAUGGGGUAUUGCUCAGCACCCAGCCAAGGGGGACAGGAGUCCCCCAGCUCCUGUCCCUGGUGCAGGACAGCACCACACAGGAUUUGCAGUGUGGGUGCUGAAGGCUCACACAAGGCCAAGGGCACCCAAAUUCUCCUCAGGAUUUGCAGUGUGGGUGCUGAAGGCUCACACCAGGCCAAGGGCACCCGAAUUCUCCUCAGCUGCUGCAUUUCUCCCUUCCCUCAGGUUUUGCUCCCAAGGCACAGCUCCCAGCUGGAGCCACGGCCACGUCUCAUUCCCAGUUUGAAAUGCUCUGUUUGCCCCUCAGCAGCUCCUGUUGGACUUCACUCCCCCUCCAUUCCUGGCUCCUCCUGAGCUGCUCAGCACCUCGGGCCAAGCUCAGAACCAGCCCCUUCCACCUCCCCACGGGGAUUUUGGGGUGAUCCCCCUCCACAGGGGACCCCAGAGCCAGGGGACACCCCGAUGUGAGCCCAGCAGGAGAGGGAAAUCCUGAUGCUGGUCACAGGAAUGGCAUGGAAAGGGUUGAGAGAUCACUCAGGUGGAGGCACAUGCACAAAACAGAGCGGAUCUCACUGAUUUCAGCAUUUUUUGGACAAAGCAGAUUCCUCUGACCUUCAUGGGCCAGGAGAGCUGCAGAGCUUGGACACUCACAGAGUCCUCUGCAGGACAGCGAAACGGGAGAGCUGCUGAGCUGUGACAGGCUGGGGCAGUGAGAAGGGGACAAAAAGGACAUUUAGAGCCUGUUCCAAAAGCCAAAGAGGCCUCCUCAGCCUGAGAAACUCAGACUGUUCCUGGGGAGAGGCCAGAGGGGGAGGCAGCCCUGGUUCUCAGAAGCUGCUGGGAAUUCCAGGUGUACAACGUGAGGCACUGAGAGUGGGCUUGGAAAACCUGCAGGCACCUGUCCAGGGAAAAUCAGACUGCCAAGAAAAGGAUCUGAAAGCUGGGGAGUCCCUGCCUCAUUUUAAACUCUUCUUUCACCCCCCCAAAAAAAGGAGAAAUCUUUUGCUACU